rnacentral:rRNA from 1 species
CCAGACUCCUACGGGAGGCAGCAGUGAGGAAUAUUGGUCAAUGGCCGAGAGGCUGAACCAGCCAAGUCGCGUGAGGGAAGAAUGUCCUAUGGAUUGUAAACCUCUUUUGUCAGGGAGCAAAGUCACCCACGUGUGGGUGUUGGAGAGUACCUGAAGAAAAAGCAUCGGCUAACUCCGUGCCAGCAGCCGCGGUAAUACGGAGGAUGCGAGCGUUAUCCGGAUUUAUUGGGUUUAAAGGGUGCGCAGGCGGUCUGUUAAGUCAGCGGUCAAAGCCCGGGGCUCACCCCCGGUCCGCCGUUGAAACUGGCAGUCUCGAGUUGGAGAGAAGUAUGCGGAAUGCGCGGUGUAGCGGUGAAAUGCAUAGAUAUCGCGCAGAACUCCGAUUGCGAAGGCAGCAUGCCGGCUCCACACUGACGCUGAGGCACGAAAGCGUGGGUAUCGAACAGGAUUAGAUACCCGGGUACC